rnacentral:misc_RNA from 1 species
GUGAAUCAUCGAAUUUUUGAACGCAAAUUGCACUCUCUGGUAUUCCGGGGAGUAUGCUUGCUUGAGGGUUAGUUUGUUACAAUCGUAAGAAGAAGUUGUUACGGGUGUGGAUGUGCCGAAAGUUAGAUUUUUGGUAAUCUAAUAUUUAUCAUAACAAUUGGUGUGAUUUUAGAUGUUUAUUUUUUAUUCAUUGACAAUUAUUACCAAAUU